ACGCACGCUGGCGGCAUGCCUAACCCAUGCACGUCGAACGAGACCUUCGGGUCUAGUGGCGCACGGGUGCGUCACGCGUGGGAACCUGCCCUUAGGUUCGGAAUAACUCCCCGAAAGGGGUGCUAAUACCGGAUAAUGUCUUCGGACCAAAGAUUUAUCGCCUUUGGAUGGGCCCGCGUUGGAUUAGCUAGUUGGUAGGGUAAAAGCCUACCAAGGCGACGAUCCAUAGCUGGUCUGAGAGGAUGAUCAGCCACACUGGGACUGAGACACGGCCCAGACUCCUACGGGAGGCAGCAGUGGGGAAUAUUGGACAAUGGGCGAAAGCCUGAUCCAGCAAUGCCGCGUGAGUGAUGAAGGCCUUAGGGUUGUAAAGCUCUUUUACCCGGGAUGAUAAUGACAGUACCGGGAGAAUAAGCGCCGGCUAACUCCGUG
rnacentral:rRNA from 1 species